rnacentral:rRNA from 1 species
GCUUUCCAUGCAGUCGACGGCAGCACGGGGGCAACCCUGGUGGCGAGUGGCGAACGGGUGAGUAAUACAUCGGAACGUGCCCAGUCGUGGGGGAUAACGUAGCGAAAGCUACGCUAAUACCGCAUACGAACUCUGGUUGAAAGCGGGGGAUCGCAAGACCUCGCGCGAUUGGAGCGGCCGAUGGCAGAUUAGGUAGUUGGUGGGGUAAAGGCCUACCAAGCCGACGAUCUGUAGCUGGUCUGAGAGGACGACCAGCCACACUGGGACCGAGACACGGCCCAGACUCCUACGGGAGGCAGCAGUGGGGAAUUUUGGACAAUGGGCGCAAGCCUGAUCCAGCCAUUCCGCGUGCAGGAUGAAGGCCCUCGGGUUGUAAACUGCUUUUGUACGGAACGAAAAAGCCUGAGUUAAUACCUCGGGUCCAUGACGGUACCGUAAGAAUAAGCACCGGCUAACUACGUGCCAGCAGCCGCGGUAAUACGUAGGGUGCAAGCGUUAAUCGGAAUUACUGGGCGUAAAGCGUGCGCAGGCGGUGAUGUAAGACAGGUGUGAAAUCCCCGGGCUUAACCUGGGAACUGCAUUUGUGACUGCAUUGCUGGAGUGCGGCAGAGGGGGAUGGAAUUCCGCGUGUAGCAGUGAAAUGCGUAGAUAUGCGGAGGAACACCGAUGGCGAAGGCAAUCCCCUGGGCCUGCACUGACGCUCAUGCACGAAAGCGUGGGGAGCAAACAGGAUUAGAUACCCUGGUAGUCCACGCCCUAAACGAUGUCAACUGGUUGUUGGGUCUUCACUGACUCAGUAACGAAGCUAACGCGUGAAGUUGACCGCCUGGGGAGUACGGCCGCAAGGUUG